rnacentral:tRNA from 3 species
GCCCCCAUCGUCCAGCGGCCUAGGACACCGCCCUUUCAAGGCGGCAACACGGGUUCGAAUCCCGUUGGGGGUGCCA